UACACAUGGCAUGCAGGCAGCUCCGAAGGGUCUGUACAAGGUGUUUUUAUAGCCUGCAGAGCUUGGAGGAGGGGUGGGGAAUCAAGAGGCACAUUAGAAUAAAACAAUGAGGGUUUCAGACAACACAAAGCAAGGAACCUUCAGGACAGGCAAACCAUUGGCACCUCUAAGAGUGUUUCUCCAAAGGGCGGCCUCCAAAGACUUAUCAACAGCAGCUGAUAAGGUGGCCAGAUAAGGUUUUAUUUAGCAGCAUUGCAAUCACCCUAAUUUGCAUGAUUAAAAACUAAGACUCAAUAAUCCUUGUUUCCCUGAAUCCUUAAGACUGUCUCCUGUAAUCAACGCAAUUGUCCCCUCUGCAGAGCUCUCACCUGCUUUUCAGUUUCCCCCUUUUUUCAUCAUCACCUGACUAGUUGCUAUGCCAUGUGAUUCAGGACCCAUAAAAACCUCUGCGUAUGUUCCAAAAGCUUGUACUUGGUCUGGCCUCUACCCAACAGUGCUAUUCUAAGUAUGCCUUCUCUGCAUAGGGUGCCUGAGUUCAAGGCCACAGGAGGCUUUCCUUACUGACCUCUGUUCUCCUGUCCCACAGCUGCUAUCAUCUUUCAGAUCGUAAAACAUAGUACAUUUUGUAUCUGUUCCCCUUUUCUAAACAAAGAAUAAUCAGUUCUACCCUGACUACAUGUGUUGAGCCUUUUCCUGUGCACUGUGUGUCCCAUACUAAUUUGCUCCAUGGGUCUCAUGAAAUAUGGCCAUGGUUGAAGAAGGAACCACGUGAAGAGGGGAAGAGCAAAAGGUCACCCCAGUCAGCAUCCCUGGACAGAUUUCAGCCCACGCACAAGUUCAGUUAAUGCUGUUAACUGAUCUAAUAGCCAAUGGUACAAAUUAUAAGCCUUAUGAUUUGCCUUCCAAAGUACAGGAGCCCCAAGAUCACGGUUCAAUGGGAGGAACGACGUCAUCAAGCUCACGAUGGUUCGCGGCAAAUUUUAAAUGGCGCAUUAAAACUGCUGCAAGGGAUACCUGUAUGUAUCAUAAGAAGAUGCGAAUCUAAGAGUCUGCAAGCAGAAAAAUGCCUCUGAAGUCUCUUCUGUCAAGGCUAAUUGGCAGAAAUUAGAUUGAUUGGACUGAGGGAUGCUCCAGCAUCAAAAUGCCCAGGGAGGCACAGUUCCCCACUGAGACAGGAUUACUGUCUUGAAACAGCCAGUGAAGCCUGGGACUCGGCCACAGAGCUGUACGAAUCCAGGCAGCACAAAGGUACGCUGACGAGCCUGGCACACACUCACUGACACGGAGGAGAGCCGAGGGUGUUCUGUGAACGUGGCGCGUGAGCGGAAGACGCGCCCGUGGCCAGUGGACUGGAGGAGCACCUGGCUGUGGAGUGGGGCAUUGCAGGCCAGCACCAUGACCCCGGUUCAGAGGAGAAGCAAGGAUCGCCUGCAGCCACCAUUUACCAUUUUAAUGCGCAACCUCUGAUCAGGGCCAUCCCAGGCCGCAGUGUAUUAGAUGAACAGUUAAUCAAGGGCUCAAGAACCCACCUUUAACCCAGCAGCUAGGGCGGAGCCACACCUGAGUGUCAGAGCUCUGCUCCACCUGCAGAAAGCCCGGGCUUCAUCCCUCGGCAUCUCCAAGGGGAGCAGCCCUGCCUGAGAUGCUGCAGACCUGCUCCGAUCCCCGUGUACCAUGCAGCCACUGAAUAUUCCCGCCAGGCAGGACAGCACGUCAAACCACCCCUCUCAGGGGCUGCCCAGUUGCAUGUUGAGCGCCCCGCAACCCCCCUGGGUCAUGCGCCCCAUUGCUGUGCUGCCCCAGUCGUCAGGCGGGUCUCCUGAUGUCUACACAGAGCCUGACUCCCUCCCUCCAGCCUAAAUCUAGUAUUCCACGUCCUGUGCUCUGGAGAAGAAGGUCCUGGGCUUCUUUCCGCUACUUGUUUGUUUGUUAGUUCUACUGCCUUGUUAUUUUUAAAGAACUCAGAGUGGCUUACACAAUUCUCCUCCUGCUGCUCUCAACCGUAUCCCCACGACAACAUCCCUGUGAGGUAGGCUGGGCUGAGAGGCUGCGUCUGACCCGAAGUCACCCAGUUGGCUCCGUGGCUGAGUGGAGAGUAGACAAGUCCCGGACCUGCACUCUUAACCACCGCACUGCACUGGCUUUCUCUUCAAGUCCUGGUAGAGUGCUAUCCUGCUGCUUCUCUUCUCAAGGCUAAAUAUGCCCAGUUCCUCAUGAAGUUCAACAAACCACUCUGUGCA